rnacentral:rRNA from 1 species
GUGCCAGCAGCCGCGGUAAUACAGAGGGGGCUAGCGUUAUUCGGAAUUAUUGGGCGUAAAGGGCGCGUAGGCGGCCAUGCGUGUCUUCCGUGAAAUCCCUCGGCUUAACUGAGGACGUGCGGAAGAAACUGCAAGGCUCGAGUCCGGGAGAGGGGGGUGGAAUUCCCAGUGUAGCGGUGAAAUGCGUAGAUAUUGGGAGGAACACCGGUGGCGAAGGCGGCCCCCUGGACCGGUACUGACGCUGAGGCGCGAAAGCGUGGGUAGCAAACGGGAUUAGAAACCCCCGUAGUCC